GAAUAAAAUUAUUAAAAUAAUCAGAUAUUUUCUAAUUUAUUUUUUAUAAAUAUUUUUGUAUCUAAAUUUAUAGAACCUGACAUAGUGAUGAUAUAUUUCUAGGAGCAGGACUGUUGUGCUCCCGUGCUCCUGAGCCGUUUUCGAUGAUAAAAUUUUCGAAUCGAUGAUCGGUUCCGUUAGACUUGAUCUAGCGUAUUUGAAGAUUUUAGAAAAUAAUAUUUACGACUUUUUGAUAUCAUUUACCUAACAAUCAAAAGGAUUCAAAAUCAAUAAUUUUUAACGGCUGAAAAUAAAAAUUCUAUAAAAAGUUGUAAUAUAGCACUAAAAUUUUCGAUCAGAAAUAUUGAGCUUGUUGUAAAUAGUAUAAAGAAUUUUGUAGCAAAAUUUCAUCUGAUUUGAAUACUUCUAUACCGUUAAACUUGAAAACGGCAGAUAUCAAUCAUUAAAAAUUAUUGAUUUUGAAACUUUUCGAUCACUAGAUAAAUGAUAUCAAAAAAUCGCAAAAAUUAUUUUUUAGAAACUUCAAAUACGCUAGAUCAAAUCUAACGGAGCCGAUCGUCGAUUCGAAAAUUCCAUCAUCGAAAAUGGCUCAGGAGCACGGACGCCUUCGUACUCCUGAGAGCACAGCAGUUCCUGCUCAUAUUUCUAGUGUGAUUUAUCUGACAUUUAUUUUUAAUUUUUAUUUAAUUUAUAUAAUU
rnacentral:lncRNA from 1 species